UUUUCGACGUUUCGUAUCUUCCCCCCCUCCCCCCUUAAAACCGACGCCUUGUCUCUAUGUUCGACAAAGCCCCCAACUCUACCGAAGCUUCAAAACAAAGUACAAGACAAACCCAAGAUGAUUUUGCUGAUUUCCGUUGAAUUUUGGGAUUUCGGUUGAAUUGACAACUCUCUCUCUCUCUCUGUUCCGUGGUCGGCUCGCUCCGGCGGCAUCUCUACGUUGAUUACUCGUGUGAAAGGUAAUUAACAAGCUCUUUUCGCAAACUUAUUGACGAAGCAAUGACGCUGUCGGAGGAGGAAAUCAAUAGGCUUUUUAGGAUUCGAAGAACGGUGAUGCAAAUGCUGAAAGACCGGGGUUAUUUUGUUGGGGAGUUUGAGAUUGACAUGACCAAAGAGCAGUUCAAGAAUAAGUACGGCGAGAGCAUGAAAAGGGAAGACCUUGUUAUCAAUAAAGCCAAGCGAAACAAUAGUUCCGAUCAGAUCUAUGUUUUCUUUCCCGAGGAGCAAAAGGUUGGUGUUAAGACAAUGAAGACUUACUCCCAACGCAUGAAGUCGGAGAAUGUUUUCAGAGCAAUCUUGGUUGUUCAACAUAAUUUGACUCCCUUUGCUCGGAGCUCCAUAAAUGAGAUUUCUUCAAAAUUCCAAUUGGAGGUUUUCCAGGAGGCAGAGUUGUUGAUAAACAUUAAAGAGCAUGUUCUUGUUCCAGAGCAUCAGGUGCUUACAAUUGAGGAGAAGAAAACUUUGCUGGAGAGGUACACCGUGAAAGAAACACAGCUGCCUCGUAUUCAAGUGACUGAUCCAGUCGCGAGAUAUUAUGGGCUGAAGCGUGGACAAGUCGUGAAGAUAAUCCGGCCAAGUGAGACUGCAGGCCGAUAUGUCACUUACCGUUAUGUUGUAUAAGUACUUCUUACAUCUUAGUAACGGCUCAGAAAAGUGUUGUGACCGGACUUGAGUGGAAAGUGUUCAUUGCCUCUGCCAAAACAGCCAAAGAACCAAACUCAACGAUUUUGUUGGAACUUAUUUAUGGGUUUUGAGGAGCAGUUUGUGGCGUUAUUGACAACUAUUGAAGCAGGUAGUCCUCAAAAGGAGCCGGGUUCUUGUUCUAAUGUUGGCAACAAAGGCAUUAGGGAGUUAAAAAGCUUCGAUUCGGUGUCCCGCAGCCAUACAAAUUUCACAAGAAAAAGGAAGUGGACCUUGCCGGGGACCUCUGGCGAUUUGUGCCCAAAGGCAAUCAAACGAAAAGGACAUCUAGCUUCCCAUUGCAUGGGUUGUUAAAUUGGGAUGCGUUACUUGUAUAAUGAAAUGUGUGUAUAAUUUUUACGCUAGGAAAAUGUUGGAUUUACAAUACCACCACAAUAAUUACACAACAGCCCCUCACAUGGGGGUAGGGCCCAGUGUGUAGGGCUCACUCUUAUGUGAGGAGCUGUUGUACAAUUGUUGUACCGGUGAAGUGUAAGAAUCAAACCUUUUUACACAAAUAAGAUAUAUUGGUAGG